rnacentral:tRNA from 1 species
UAGCUCAGUCGGUAGAGCGCAAGACUCUUAAUCUUGCAGUCGCGGGUUCGACCCNN